rnacentral:rRNA from 1 species
GAGUUUGAUCCUGGCUCAGGAUGAACGCUGGCGGCGUGCCUAAUACAUGCAAGUCGAGCGAACAGACGGGGAGCUUGCUCCCCUGACGUUAGCGGCGGACGGGUGAGUAACACGUGGGUAACCUACCUAUAAGACUGGAAUAACUCCGGGAAACCGGGGCUAAUGCCGGAUAACAUGUUGGACCGCAUGGUCCUACAGUGAAAGACGGUCUUGCUGUCACUUAUAGGUGGACCCGCGCCGUAUUAGCUAGUUGGUAAGGUAACGGCUUACCAAGGCAACGGAUACGUAGCCGACCUGAGAGGGUGAUCGGCCACACUGGAACUGAGACACGGUCCAGACUCCUACGGGAGGCAGCAGUAGGGAAUCUUCCGCAAUGGGCGAAAGCCUGACGGAGCAACGCCGCGUGAGUGAUGAAGGCCUCGGUCGUAAAC